rnacentral:lncRNA from 1 species
ACGGUGGCAAGGUGCGGUGGCGCUAGUGAGAGAGAAAAAUCUAGCAAAUGAAGCAAUGUUGCAUUAUUUUUAGAAAAAUUGCACUAUUUGAACAUAUAUUAUACUAGUUGACAAAAAAAUUGCACUAUUUUACAGUUUAUUUUAUGUAUUAAAUAGUACAACUUUCUCGUUAAAUAGUGUAAUAUAUAUUUAAUAUUUUUUUAAAAUAAUACAACAUCACGUAGUCUGCCAGAUUUUUCUCUCUUACGUACUAUUGCCACCCUCUCGCUGCCAUAGCCACACUCGCGAACUCGCUUGUAAACUUGUUUCGGGAGCAUUCUCAA